UGCUGUACGUUGGGACUAGAUGUGGGGACCAUUCCACGGUCUCCGUGUCGUAGCUAACGCAUUAAGUUCCCCGCCUGGGGAGUACGGCCGCAAGGCUAAAACUCAAAGGAAUUGACGGGGGCCCGCACAAGCGGCGGAGCAUGCGGAUUAAUUCGAUGCAACGCGAAGAACCUUACCAAGGCUUGACAUAUACGAGAACGCGCUGGAGACAGCGAACUCUUUGGACACUCGUAUACAGGUGGUGCAUGGUUGUCGUCAGCUCGUGUCGUGAGAUGUUGGGUUAAGUCCCGCAACGAGCGCAACCCUCGUCCUAUGUUGCCAGCACGUCAUGGUGGGAACUCAUGGGAUACUGCCGGGGUCAACUCGGAGGAAGGUGGGGAUGAGGUCAAAUCAUCAUGCCCCUUAUGUCUUGGGCUUCACGCAUGCUACAAUGGCCGGUACAAUGGGCUGCGAUACCGCAAGGUGGAGCGAAUCCCAAAAAGCCGGUCUCAGUUCGGAUUGAGGUCUGCAACUCGACCUCAUGAAGUCGGAGUCGCUAGUAAUCGCAGAUCAGCAACGCUGCGGUGAAUACGUUCCCGGGCCUUGUACACACCGCCCGUCAAGUCAUGAAAGUCGGUAACACCCGAAGCCGGUGGCCUAACCUUUUGGAGGGAGCCGUCGAAGGUGGGAUCGGUGAUUAGGACUAAGUCGUACAAAGGGGUAAACCA
rnacentral:rRNA from 1 species